UCCUGGACAGCGGUCGCCAAGCUCUUCAGGGGUUCAGGGGGGUCUCCAAGAGAGAGAGAGCUUUUGUGAGGGGAACUUUAUGUGAGAGAGAAUUGGGUGUACAAGGGUUGAGGGUGAGGUCUCCUCUUGUAAAAUUUUCUUUUCAUAGUGAAGUUUGCAUGCCCCGUGGAGGCGAGCCCUUUUGUGGCUGAUCCACGUAUUUUGAUUAUUUUUCUUCUGUUUUGUUUCUUCUUUCUUCCUGCUGCAUCGCAUGGUACUGAAAGGGUC
rnacentral:lncRNA from 1 species